rnacentral:rRNA from 1 species
AGUGAACGCUGGCGGUAGGCCUAACACAUGCAAGUCGAACGGCAGCACAGUAAGAGCUUGCUCUUACGGGUGGCGAGUGGCGGACGGGUGAGGAAUACAUCGGAAUCUACUUUUUCGUGGGGGAUAACGUAGGGAAACUUACGCUAAUACCGCAUACGACCUACGGGUGAAAGCAGGGGAUCUUCGGACCUUGCGCGAUUGAAUGAGCCGAUGUCGGAUUAGCUAGUUGGCGGGGUAAAGGCCCACCAAGGCGACGAUCCGUGGCUGGUCUGAGAGGAUGAUCAGCCACACUGGAACUGAGACACGGUCCAGACUCCUACGGGAGGCAGCGGUGGGGAAUAUUGGACAAUGGGCGCAAGCCUGAUCCAGCCAUACCGCGUGGGUGAAGAAGGCCUUCGGGUUGUAAAGCCCUUUUGUUGGGAAAGAAAAGCAGCAGGUUAAUACCCCGCUGUUCUGACGGUACCCAAAGUAUAAGCACCGGCUAACUUCGUG